rnacentral:lncRNA from 1 species
CCUGGUGUAUCUGACCACUGUUGUUCCAGUAUAUUAAUGUUCUAUGUGAAAUUUUGUAGGUAUUGGACUGUUAGCUACCGAUUUGCUCCAGACAUAAAUCGUUGGCAAGCUGAAGCUCUAGCUGCAAUUCAAGAGGUUUGGUAACUUAUCCAAUCUUCUAAACUUGUAAGACUUCAAAAUCCAAUACAGAGAAACACAGUAAAACUGUAAUUUUUUUUGGGAAAUUAUUUUAUUUUUUCGGUCUUUUAGCUAUUUAUUUUCUAUUUGGUAAAGUAAAUAAGAAUUUGUGCUUACAAGUAUUUUUUUAAUUUUAGCUACUUGAAUCAUUAUAAUUUGGGUAAGUGUUAAAACAAUUGCUAUUAUUGUUAAUUUUAGCUACUUGAAUCAUUACAAUUUGGGUAAGUGUUAAAACAAUUGCUAUUAUUGUUAAUUUUAGCUACUUGAAUCAUUACAAUUUCUAUUGGAAGAUUGAGAUGUGAACAUUCAUCAAGUCUAUUGAUAAAAGAGCUUGAAAAUCAUCUAUUUAACUAGAUGAGAGCCUCCUAAAACAACAAGCUUAUAUGGGUCACAUAUUGUAAAAUCAAAAGCACAAUGUAUCACUAAAGAAGAUAAAAUUGUAAACUUGACAUUCAUACGAAAUUAUAGGAUUUCUUGCACUAGUGAUUACUUAGAUGGGGCGUUAGAUAUAAUACAAUGAAUAAAUUGUAAGGUGAUAAAAUUGAAGGAAUAAAUUAGAAACAUUUUAUUAAAAAUAAAACUAAUUAAAUGUGUAUAUUCAUAUACAACUCAUUAAUUAAAAAUAUUUUUAAAUAAUUAAACUUAAAAAUAUUAUUUUAAUAAUAUUACAUAUAUAUCGACUUUUGAACCAUUAUAAAUUAAACUCAAUCCAAUCAUGAGUAAAUAAAAUAAAAAUUUGAUCAUUAGAUAUAAUCAAGUAAACAACUUGAUUAAAAAACAAAUAUUCAAUAUAUUAGAAUUGGAUCAUUAGAUAUAAUCAAGUAAACAACUUGAUUAAAAAACAAAUAUUCAUUGUUAUUAUGAUUGAUUAAAAAACAACUUGAUUAAACAACAAGUAUUUGGUAACAUUGUUGAUUAAAAAACAAAUAUUCAUUGUUAAUGUUAAUGUUAAAGUUCUAUUUUUUGCUUCGUUAAGAUUCUAAAUUUGUAUUGUUCAUUUUUCUUUGAUAGUGUAAUAUUGCUUCCUAUUGAAGCGGCUUGUUUGAUUGCUU